GACGAACGCUGGCGGCGUGCCUAAUACAUGCAAGUCGAGCGGACCAAAGGGAGCUUGCUCCUGGAGGUUAGCGGCGAACGGGUGAGUAACACGUGGGCAACCUGCCUGUAAGACUGGGAUAACAUCGAGAAAUCGGUGCUAAUACCGGAUAAUAAAAAGAACUGCAUGGUUCUUUUUGAAAGAUGUUUCGGCAAUCACUUACAGAUGGCCGCGGCGCAUUAGCUAGUUGGUGGGUAACGGGCUCACCAAGGCGACGAUGCGUAGCCGACCUGAGAGGGUGAUCGGCCACACUGGGACUGAGACACGG
rnacentral:rRNA from 1 species